UACGUAGGGGGCAAGCGUUAUCCGGAAUUACUGGGUGUAAAGGGUGCGUAGGCGGAACAGCAAGUCAGAAGUGAAAGGUCAGGGCUUAACCGUGAAACUGCUUUUGAAACUGCUGAUCUAGAGUACAGGAGAGGAAAGCGGAAUUCCUAGUGUAGCGGUGAAAUGCGUAGAUAUUAGGAAGAACACCAGUGGCGAAGGCGGCUUUCUGGACUGAAACUGACGCUGAGGCACGAAAGCGUGGGGAG
rnacentral:rRNA from 1 species